rnacentral:rRNA from 1 species
GACGAACGCUGGCGGCGUGCUUAACACAUGCAAGUCGAACGGACCUUAGCAUCAAGCUUGCUUAAUGCGAAAGGUUAGUGGCGGACGGGUGAGUAACACGUGGAUAAUCUGCCUAUGACACAGGGAUAACACUGUGAAAACGGUGCUAAUACCAGAUACGUUUAUCGAAUCGCAUGGUUUGAUAAAGAAAGGAGCAAUCCGGUCAUAGAUGAGUCCGCGGCUGAUUAGCUAGUUGGUGAGGUAACGGCUCACCAAGGCGAUGAUCAGUAGCCGGCCUGAGAGGGUGAACGGCCACACUGGGACUGAGACACGGCCCAGACUCCUACGGGAGGCAGCAGUGGGGAAUCUUCCGCAAUGGACGAAAGUCUGACGGAGCAACGCCGCGUGGGUGAAGAAGGCCUUCGGGUUGUAAAACCCUGUCUUAUGGAAGAAAAAAUGACGGUACCAUAGGAGGAAGCCACGGCUAACUACGUGCCAGCAGCCGCGGUAAACACGAGAACG